UUUUUUAUAAUUAAUAUUUAUUGAAUUUUCAAAGAAUAACAACAAAAAUUUCCAAAAAAAAAUUUUAAGGAUACAAAAAACAAAAUUAGUGCAUAAACAAAAAAAAAAAAGAAAAGAAAACCCAGCCGCAAAGAGAAAAAAAGAGAAACAGAAAAACAAAAAUAUAAAGUCCUUUACAAUCUCUAUUGACUUCCUUUCUAGACUUCCUCCUCCUCCCCUCUUUUGUUUCUUAAUUUUUAAUUUUUGCAGCAAAUCCUUUCUGUUUUUUCAUAACAAUCUGUCAUUACGUUUCCUUAUUCUAUUUUCCCUCUUGUCAUAUAAAAACUUUAAAACUCAUAGCUUAUAUUCAAUAUUUACCAAAUUCUUGCAUCAUUACCUUUUUACGAAUCAUUUACCAAUCCUUACUUAAGUCAUGUAAUUUCAUUCAACAUCCUUCAAACAUUUGUAAGCAUUCCCAAUAUUAAAAAGUAAAAAAGAAAAAAUAAUAAGUCAAAUUUAGUCCAGUCAGCUUCCAACCUCCCCUCCCCUGGACCCGGGAUUGUCAGUCCUUUUAACCUCGGUAAUCCGGCUCUUAACCUGGUUGUCUCGUAUCCGAGGCCCUCAAGUCUCUUUCUUGCCCCUUUCGCCACUCUUGUUGAUGAUUCCUUUCCAGUCGUGGAUGCUCCAGCAAGAAAAUGCUUUUGACCCUUUGCAACAAUUCCAUCCCAAACCCAUUGCCCAAGCCAGACAGCAAAUAAUACCACUUCAAAUUUCCACAAAGCUUGGAGACUUCGGCUACUCCAAUCCUCUGAUAGCCCAUCACCAGACUCGGAAGGUCCAAAUAACCAUAUGGAGGGGGGGUCGAUCCAUCCCCCCAUUUCCAAAUCUAACCACAUUUCAUCUUUCCGAAUCUGGUUUGUCCCAAGUUCAUUUAUCAAGUUCAAAGGCUGAUCUUGCCCGUCCAAAGGUCCCUCCAUCUCUGAAGCCUCCGUCACUACAGCAGGUUCGUAUGCUUGUAUAGCCUUUAACUGAAUUUCAUUUGUUUGCUGCUGUGCUCUGGUAGCUUCCAUCCUCAAGGUCGUCUCCUGACGCAUCUGGUCCAGCUGGGCACUUAGUUUUGAAAAACCUUCCAGGAACAAUUGUUCCAGCCUUUGUACUAGCAUUGUCCUUCAAGGUCAAAGAAAAUUCUUUCCCACGAGAAUAGUCCAAUAGUCCUUCUCUUUUAAUCUCUCUGCGUUGCAAUUUCACUAAAUUCCACUAGAUGGAUUUUUUUUAAAAAAAAAGAAUAAAAGCAACAGCAACAAUCUUUCUUUUUCCAGAAACACUUUAUCCAAAAUUCCCCCUUCCAAAUUCAAGAGGCAACAGUAGAAUCAAAAUGUUACCCUUCUUUUAACUAACUGUCGAGCUGGAUAAACUUCAGAACGUCAAUUCUGACAGCCCGCUCCUGGUUCAGGGCGGUGGAAAAUUGCUUUAUUUUAAACUCACUUCCGCAGGAUUGAAAAGUCCAAAUACAACCCCCUUUUCUCCUGCUGUCAAAGGGGGGGUUCAGAAUCUUAGAUGUUGAAUUCUAGUUCUCUUAAAAUUUAAUUUUCAGGCUUUAGUAUAUUUUGUCUUUGCUUUCUUCACAUAACAAAAGAACGGAAGGCGACUUCCUGUUUAGACCUUCCCAUUCCGAGUCCCAAUUAAGUUCAAUUUCAAGUCCAAUAUUAUUUAUUUAUUCAUCAGUCUUAAAAGUGGUUCAGCUCUUCCAAGAUCAGGUACUCACGGAUAGAUGUUUUAGAUGCCAAAUUGUCCAGGAAAAGGCAGCGCUCUCCGAUAACGGCAGUGCGGCUUUGCUGCACGGAGGAAGCAGACGACUCACAGCACCACGCACCUCCCACUCCGGAGCCCGUUACCGGGCUCCUGUACAAGGGGAGAGCGCGCUCUCGGUGCCCGCCGAGUCCCACGUCCACAGGCUUCUUCCGCCUGUGGUUUUUGCGGGUCCCCGCUGCGCCGUAGCGGCAGGACCCAAGCCUCCGUGCAGCGGGUUCCCUUCAGUCCGAAGGGAAUUCCGCCAUUUUCCGGAGGCGCCACCCCGGAAGU
rnacentral:lncRNA from 1 species